AAAUGGUCAUCUAAGCUUGAAGGGCAGCUUUAUAAAGGAUGAUCUCCUGGGCUGGCAACUGCUUCAUGAAGAUGGCUGAUUUAUAAAAGUGUCUGGAAGGUCUGAACUCAUCAGCAGUUGGAGGGGAGGCAGCCUAAUUGCAGGCACAAGAAGCACAAAUACUGAAGCAGUGGAGGCAGAACCAGCAAGUGGCGGAGAGUUGCUGGGGCAAGCAGAGCAACUGGCAGAACGGUGGGGAUGAGGCCACCACUGACUCCUCACAGAGCAGCCAUGCUGGCAUCAGUCCAAGCAGGAGCAGCAGCACCUCUGUCAGAGGCGAAGAACUGAAACAAUGUGAAGUUGACUCAGCUAAGUGAGCCAAUCUGAAUGGCCCCAGCUUUACUCUAAUGUAUGCUCAUAUGUGCAUGAAGGUGCUUUAUAUACUCUCGUUCUAACUCAUGCUAAUUUGAGCCACUCCCCCUGCCCACCCAAUAAAGCUUGCAGUCUAGAAAAGCUCCUGUUGUUUCACCUAUCUGGAUUCUCUAACCCCAUUGCAGAUUUCCAUGUGGCAUGUGGUUUCCACAUUGGCACCUUGGGAACAGCUGGUGGUACUCACUUCUGAGUAUUUCCUUGUUAAUAGGCAAGCCCAGAAAGUCUUAGUAUGAGAAAAGCAUGUGAAUGAACAGGAACAAAAGUUUCAGUUUUGCUCAGAAGCCUGUGUGAAUGGUUGGGCCUCUAUGAUUGAUCACUCUGUUGCCUGAACAGUCUUAGUCCCGGGUGGACUAAAAACUAGAGACAGUCCAACGGAUAAGCUGGGCUUUUUAUUUGUUUGUUUAUAAAUAAUAACCAAUCCAAGUGUUUAUGUAUUGGGUUUUUCCAAUAAGUUGUUAACAAUAAAUAGCUGAG